rnacentral:rRNA from 1 species
AGAGUUUGAUCAUGGCUCAUAUUGAACGCUGGCGGCAAGCCUCAUACAUGCAAGUCGAACGAGAAAGUAUCUUCGGAUACAAGUAAAGUGGCGGACGGGUGAGUAAUACAUAGGAAUCUACCCAGUGGAGGGGGAUAGCUCGAGGAAACUCGAAUUAAUACCGCAUAAUCUCUACGGAGUAAAGAGGGCUUCGGCUCUCACCAUUGGAUGAGCCUAUGCAAGAUUAGCUUGUUGGUGAGGUAAUGGCUCACCAAGGCUACGAUCUUUAGCUGGUUUGAGAGGACGACCAGCCACAUCGGGACUGAGACACGGCCCGGACUUCUACGGAAGGCAGCAGUGGGGAAUAUUGGACAAUGAGCGAAAGCUUGAUCCAGCUAUGCCGCGUGUGCGAUGACGGCCUUAGGGUUGUAAAGCACUUUAGGUAACGAGGAAAAGUUAGGUGUUAAUACCACUUAACCAUGACGUUAAUUACAGAAUAAGCACCGGCUAAAUCCGUGCCAGCAGCCGCGGUAAUACGGAUGGUGCAAGCGUUAAUCGGAAUUACUGGGCGUAAAGCGCGCGUAGGCGGCCCAUCAAGUUAGAUGUGAAAUCCCAGGGCUUAACCCUGGAACUGCAUCUAAAACUGAUGAGCUAGAGUACUAGAGAGGAAAGUAGAAUUCUUAGUGUAGCGGUGGAAUGCGUAUAUAUUAAGAGGAAUACCAAUGGCGAAGGCAACUCUCUGGAUAGAUACUGACGCUGAGGUGCGAAAGCGUGGGGAGCAAACAGGAUUAGAUACCCUGUUAGUCCACGCCGUAAACGAUGAUAACUAGCCGUUGGUUUUUACCAGUGGCGCAUCUAACGCAUUAAGUUAUCCGCCUGGGGAGUACGGCCGCACGCUGAUACUCACAUG